GACGAACGCUGGCGGCGUGCCUAAUACAUGCAAGUCGAGCGGACCAAAGGGAGCUUGCUCCUGGAGGUUAGCGGCGAACGGGUGAGUAACACGUGGGCAACCUGCCUGUAAGACUGGGAUAACAUCGAGAAAUCGGUGCUAAUACCGGAUAAUAAAAAGAACUGCAUGGUUCUUUUUUGAAAGAUGGUUUCGGCUAUCACUUACAGAUGGGCCCGCGGCGCAUUAGCUAGUUGGUGAGGUAACGGCUCACCAAGGCGACGAUGCGUAGCCGACCUGAGAGGGUGAUCGGCCACACUGGGACUGAGACACGGCCCAGACUCCUACGGGAGGCAGCAGUAGGGAAUCUUCCGCAAUGGACGAAAGUCUGACGGAGCAACGCCGCGUGAGUGAUGAAGGUUUUCGGAUCGUAAAACUCUGUUGUUAGGAAGAACAAGUGCCGUUCGAAAGGGCGGCACCUUGACGGUACCUAACGAGAAAGCCACGGCUAACUACGUGCCAGCAGCCGACGG
rnacentral:rRNA from 1 species